AGCGAACGCUGGCGGCAGGCCUAACACAUGCAAGUCGAACGAACCUUUCGGGGUUAGUGGCGGACGGGUGAGUAACACGUGGGAACGUGCCUUUAGGUUCGGAAUAACUCAGGGAAACUUGUGCUAAUACCGAAUGUGCCCUUCGGGGGAAAGAUUAAUCGCCUUUAGUGCGGCCCGCGUCUGAUUAGCUAGUUGGUUGAGGUAAUGGCUCACCAAGGCGACGAUCAGUAGCUGGUCUGAGAGGAUGAUCAGCCACAUUGGGACUGAGACACGGCCCAAACUCCUACGGGAGGCAGCAGUGGGGAAUCUUGCGCAAUGGGCGAAAGCCUGACGCAGCCAUGCCGCGUGAAUGAUGAAGGUCUUAAGAUUGUAAAAUUCUUUCAACGGGGACGGUAAUGACGGUACCCGGAGAAGAAGCCCCGGCUAACUUCGUG
rnacentral:rRNA from 1 species